rnacentral:rRNA from 1 species
UACGUAGGGUGCAAGCGUUAAUCGGAAUUACUGGGCGUAAAGCGUGCGCAGGCGGUUUUGUAAGUUUGUCGUGAAAUCCCCGGGCUCAACCUGGGAAUGGCGAUGAAGACUGCAAGGCUAGAAUCUGGCAGAGGGGGGGUAGAAUUCCACGUGUAGCAGUGAAAUGCGUAGAGAUGUGGAGGAACACCGAUGGCGAAGGCAGCCCCCUGGGUCAAGAUUGACGGCUCAUGAC